UACGGAGGAUCCAAGCGUUAUCCGGAUUUAUUGGGUUUAAAGGGUGCGUAGGCGGCUUUUUAAGUCAGGGGUGAAAGACGGUAGCUCAACUAUCGCAGUGCCCUUGAUACUGAAGAGCUUGAAUGGACUAGAGGUAGGCGGAAUGUGACAAGUAGCGGUGAAAUGCAUAGAUAUGUCACAGAACACCGAUUGCGAAGGCAGCUUACUAUGGUUUUAUUGACGCUGAGGCACGAAAGCGUGGGGAGCAAACAGG
rnacentral:rRNA from 1 species